rnacentral:rRNA from 1 species
UGGCGGCCGUAGCGCGGUGGUCCCACCUGACCCCAUGCCGAACUCAGAAGUGAAACGCCGUAGCGCCGAUGGUAGUGUGGGGUCUCCCC